rnacentral:rRNA from 1 species
AGUGAACGCUGGCGGUAGGCCUAACACAUGCAAGUCGAACGGCAGCACAGUAAGAGCUUGCUCUUACGGGUGGCGAGUGGCGGACGGGUGAGGAAUACAUCGGAAUCUACUUUUUCGUGGGGGAUAACGUAGGGAAACUUACGCUAAUACCGCAUACGACCUACGGGUGAAAGCAGGGGAUCUUCGGACCUUGCGCGAUUGAAUGAGCCGAUGUCGGAUUAGCUAGUUGGCGGGGUAAAGGCCCACCAAGGCGACGAUCCGUAGCUGGUCUGAGAGGAUGAUCAGCCACACUGGAACUGAGACACGGUCCAGACUCCUACGGGAGGCAGCAGUGGGGAAUAUUGGACAAAGGGCGCAAGCCUGAUCCAGCCAUACCGCGUGGGUGAAGAAGGCCUUCGGGUUGUAAAGCCCUUUUGUUGGGAAAGAAAAGCAGCAGGUUAAUACCCCGCUGUUCUGACGGUACCCAAAGAAGAAGCACCGGCUAACUUCGU